AAGGAGAGGAAGAAGAGGGAUGAGCAAGGAGAGCAGCACAGUUCCCUGUGCCUUUCAGCUCUGAGCUGAGCUUGCAGCUGGCAGUCAGACACAGAGAAGGGUGCCUGCUCCAUUUCCUGCCUUGUCUGGUCAAUACUGCAGCCUCACAAGCUGGCUUUUCUGGCUGAAAUCUUAAGCCAAAUACUGUUUCCAAGACAAAUUCCUUUUAUUUUGCAGAGCGAGGAGGUGAGGGUUUAGAUUUCCAUCACUUUCCAGGAUGCUUUAGAAGAAUUGUGCUAAGAUGGCUGUUCCCCUUUCCACCGCAGGAAUUAUUUCAGACCAAAAGAAGUGCUAAAAGCCUCUCUCUGCUGAGAGCCCCAGGAACAGGCAGUGAAAGUCUCCAUGAUUUUGUCAUUCAGAGAAAGUGGAGACAGGAAAGAAGGAAGGUUGUCUGGGGAUUAAAUCUCUAAGGAAAGUGCUUCCCACUUGGACUCAGACGUCCAUCUCUGGCAUCCCAAAUGUUGUGGUUUCUGCUAUGCUUUUUCUCCUUCCUGCUCAGACCUGAAGGUCCAGACUGGCUUGGAGGGCUGUGAUGCGAUCCAGGAGGAGAGAGCUGCAGAAGUGAGCUCACCCCGUGUGCCCUCUGGUUCCUGCUUGGCAGGAUGGAGCCCCUCAGCUGGGUGCUGGAUAUGCCAGCAGCAUCCCAUGUCCCCCCCAGUGGGAUACUUGCUCCCUUCUACCCACAGGGGUGAUGCUCCCACCACCACUGAGGUCAGUCCUUGUGCUAUGGCUCCCUCUACACCACCUGCAUGGAUAUGGCUGGGGUAGCACCCUGCCUUUAUUUGCUGCGGAGACUGCUGAGAGCUCUGCCAGGACCUGACUGAGGUGGCUGGCUCUGCCUUCCUAGCGAGGUGGUUUUUGGGAGGGGAGGUGGAAAAGUACUGAAUGUGGCCAUUUCCUCCCUUGCUGCCAUCCCCUGGCUUGUAAAGGCUGCUCCUGGGCUUCUCCCAAGGGGCUUGUUUGCCUUGGAAGGUGCUCUGAGGUUCAGUGAUGCUCUGUGGGCAGAACCCAGCCUCGAGGACAGGCCAUGGCGUGUGCAUGGGGAAGAAGAACCUAACCCCAGACCAAGGCCCUCUCAGAUCAUUUCCCCAAGCUCCUAAAGCACUGAGUUUCAAAGUUUGGGCGUGCAGUGAGCUGGGGUCAGGGGAUUACAUGCUUGCUAGGAGCCAGCAGACAGUUGGAGCUGCUGGUGUUGUGUUUGGAGGAAGAAGGAGCAUGAAGGAGUCUGAGCAAACAACUUGCUGAGCUGUCCCAUGCCAGAGAUAGGAAAACAAGUUUGUUUGAAAAACAACAUCUUCCUGGAGUCAGAGGCUGCACACAGAGGGCACUGCAGUAUUUGUGAGACCCUGACUGUUUUGCAAGGGCACAGCCUUUCCUGAAUGCCUGAUGGCCAGAACUCCUGAAAUAACAGCUCAGGAGCUGCUGACGUUGCUCUGGCAGAAGAGCACGGCUCAAUGCAAAUCAAUGAGUCCCUCCCAGUGGGUCUGCCAUGGUCCUGCUAUCCAAGAGGAUGCUGCCAGCCAACAGGUACCAAUGGGAGGCAGUGCUUUCUAAGAAGCCAGAACAUCCUGGGCAUAGGGAAUAUGCCAGGCAGAAAGUGUUCUGUGCCAGUGAUGGCACACGAGGGCUGGCACAGGUUUGGGGUUGGCACAGUAGUGAGGUUGCUCUCUGGUAGCUGGAACCAUGAUGAGCUCAGAGCUGUGUGUCGGGGCUAUGGGGCAAUAUUCCCUCUGCUCUGAUGGGGCUGUUUGCGGGGAUCAAGGGGGAGGUCACAGCUCAUUGUCCCUAUGGGCUAGACAACACUUGACCCCACUUCCAUCCCAAGUGGGGCCUUCAUCUGUAUAAGUGGGGCCCUAUUACUGUGUAAACAUGGUCUUGUGGCUCCCAUUAAUGCCUCUUGAUGGGUCUGAUCAGUCCUGUUUGUCUCCUCCCAUCCCACCAGAACGCUUCUGUGGGUGGAGGAGGACAGGGGAUGGAGGAACGUGGUCCAUGUGGCACUGGCCGUGGCCAGGGUUGCAUAAGCCCCAUGGGAUGCCACGUUAGCGUGGGGAGGAGCCUCUGCCUGGCCAUUUUGACAGCUCCUCCCUGAGGCACAGGACAGGCAAGGACCCCAAGCCCAAUGCCACCUCUCAGCACCAUGAGCAGGGGUGGGUGAUGGCAGGGUAAGAACCCUCCCACAUCUCACUCGGUGACAAAGUGAGGCCGCUGCAGAGGGAACCCUCACACACUGUGGGCUCACAGGGCCAAGAGAAAUUCCCUUCAGCCCCUGCACAUGCUUGCACACCCCCUGCCCACCACAUCUCCCCAUGCAAUUACUAAAGGCACAGCCACCCGCUGCUGCACUAUUAACCCAUAAACCUUGCAAAGAGUUAUCGAGGUGCUGUGACUAUGCUUAUAAACACAGCAAAUCUUUACAGAGCUCACUGCUAACAGUGUGAGAGCCCUCAUGCCAAUGCAGCUGCGUGCUGACCUGAAGCUGUCACUGCCUGCUUUGGUUGCAAAUUGCAUCCAGAGUGGGAAACAGUUAAAGCAGCACCAAGAGAAGAGCAUAGAUGAGCCCCUUGCAAACUGCAAUUGGGAAGAAGCAGCAAUGCAGCUUUUGGCUGUCCUGCCUGAGCUUCUCCUUUUGCUAGAGAGUGCCGUGCCAGGUGCAAGCGGGUCCCUCCGGCUCCCGGGGAGCACGGAAAGCUGAUCUCUCACUGAUGCGCAGCUCCACAAAGCAGAGAGCAAAAAACCCCCCCCCGCUAAAUACGCUGCAAACAUGCGAACCAUCUUCAAAGCAUUCCCUGGGCUCGCCCUGCCGCUGCCGCGAUAACAGCCCCGACAUCCAUCCGAGCAGCGGACCCAGGAGGGGUUUCCAUGGGAGCCGACAUUCCUCCGGGGCUGAGUCAUGGAAGAGCGGAGAGCUGCGGAAGGAGGGGCUUGCAGAAAGCUUGAAAAGUUUAUUUCUGCUUUUCCCCCUCCCAUCACCGCCCGCAUCCCCGCUCCUGCCGAUGUGGCAGACAAUAGCCGGGCUGCAGCAGCUGCGCACUACGCGACAGCUUUUAAUUUCCACGUAAAACCCAUCCGGCCCACCCUGCCGGGCUGCCGCCGUUUAUUGUUGUCCUUGGAAGUGGUGGAGGAGCGUUUCGGGCCGUUCCGAGCCCCCGGUGCUCCGCUCACCUCCCCGGAGCCCCCGAUUUCACUGCAGCUCGAAAGCGCUGCGUCUCCCCGGGGUGGGAGCUGAGCCCCCGUCCCGCACAGUGCCCUCCGUCGGGGGCACUAAACGGAGUUAAAGCCGUACGUCACCGCACCCAGAGGUCGGCUGCUGCCUUUAAAGGAAGCGAGUCCUUGGCUCUUCUGCCUGGACGGGAGUAGCGGCUGAUUGAUCUCAAGCCAUCAAAGCUAAGCCAAAAAAGAAAAGAGCUUUGUCCCUUCUCCCCCCGCCUCUCCCUCCUUCAGCUGAGCAGCUGGAGCUAAGCAAAGCUGGGCAGCCGGCAGGAGCUGAAAAGGUUUCAAAGUCUGUUCGGGACCAAAAGCUGAAUAUCUCGUUUUGUUGUUUUCGCAGGAGGAAACGAGAGCGGCCGCACUGAGAUAAAGCCGAGAGCUCUUUUGUUCGUCCCCCCUGAUAUCCCGGAGGAUGCAGAAGAAAGAAGGGACAUUGCUUCUCCGCUCUCUGCUGCUCUAAGGAAAUGCCUUGUGGGAAGGGGAAGGAAAGCAAGAUCCCCAUUUUCCAGAGUGCAGAGAUUUAUGGCAUGUCUGAGACGUGUUUCCAGUGGGCACAGAAGUGCUUAGCUGGGAGAAAAGCAAAACCCCUAUCCUGGAAAUCUGCAGGCCAGUUCAGUCUGCUAUCACUUGGCAUUUUAACCUUACAGCCCCUUACUCAGCCUAAGCAGCUGCCCAGCCAGAGACAGCCAAACCUUUUGGGGCUGUCUUUGCACUUCUGUUCUUCCUGCUUAGGAUGAAGUCCCCAGCACCACCCCUCUCCUUGCAUUUCACCGCAACAGACAGCAUGGCCAUAGUGCUGCACUGCAAAGCAAAAGCAGCAGCCAAGAAGGGAGGCUGUUGGGAUGCUGGAGUGUCUGAGUGUCCCUGAAGAGUGACUCUGCUCCUGGUGCUGGCUCCUGGCUCUGUAGAGUGCUUGAUACCCUAUGAUUUUAAUUCGUUUUCAGCACAGCCCUCACAGCAAUUCUGCUGCGUGUGAAUGGAGCAGAUGUCAGCACAAACAUCCAUAUGGCCACAGAGAAACAAAAAAUAACAGAACAAAAAGGAAAAGGGGAAGAGAAAAAAGAGAUAGUGGUGGGGACUGUGUCACCAUUGCUACUUCCCAUUGAAAUGGGGAAUAUCUGCAGUUGGGAUCCCAGGAAGGUGAAAGGGAAGAUCACAAGGAGCCUGCUGUAUGUGGCUGCAUGCAGCCCCAAAGCCUUCCCUGGCUGCUGCGUGGAUGCUGCUGCCACCCACAUGGACAUAUCAAAAGGGACCACCUCUGUGCCUAUGGAGGACACUUGGUGAUGGUGUCUAAUGCCACGUGGGUCCUUCUAAUAGAGGCAAGUACAUCUGGAGAACCUUCUGCUCCUCAGCUCAGUGCCACUCAUAGGUUCCAUGGCUCCAGAGGUCACGCAUCCCCAGGAUCCAAGUUUCAUUUGGCUGACCCACACCCAAGGAGUUGAAUGCUCUCUGUGCUGGAUUAGUCACGGCUCGCAUUGAAGUCAUACAGCUGUUGGUAGUUCUGCAGAGGAAGGAGAAAAAAAAAGAGAGAGAGAGACAUCUGGAAAGAAUUUUAGGGAGGGAAAAAAAAAAAAAAAGCAAGAGAAAAGAAACCACGUCUUUGUAACUGACAACGUGGCAAUUGCUCAGUGCUCUUUAUUGCAGCCCAAAGCUAAGCCCUCUUCUAAUAGCUCAGACAAAUGGCAGUGCCAGGAAGAUAAUUAUAACAGGGACCAGGGAUUUCUUUACAUACGUGGCGACUUAAACCCUGGGUUUGGGAGAAAGCAAUGAGAAGCCUGAUGCAGCAGUGCAGCCACUUCUGGAAAUACAGCGUGUUGGCAUGAGGGGUCCUGAUGUUCUCCUGGCUAUUGGGAGGAACGGGACCCCCACCCACUGUUUGCAUGGGGUGAGCUCCUGUGUGGGGCACACUGCCCAGCCUGAGGGGAUGGCAAGGAAUGGGAGGCAGAGCUGGAGCAGUUGGCUGGCUCUGUGACCUCAGGAUUUAUGGAGCUGUAGAAAUGACAGAGAGCUUGCAAAAAUAAAUUAAUAAAUAGCCUUCUCUGCAUUCACAAGGCUUAGCAAGGCUGUUGGAGAGGAGGCGGAGAUGCCAGGCUGCCAAGAAAAAGUGUGGACCUCACACAUCUUGAGGGUCGUUGGAUGUAUCUGAAGCUGAGGUGACAGGCAGAAGGUGGUUCUCAUCACCUUUGUAGUACUUGUGGUGCUUUGCCCAGCUUGUGGUCCUGCUUGGUGCUUCCUGCACCCCACAGCACCCUGACACUCGCUCCACUGGAAAUGCAAACAGGAGCAGAGCCUGCAGGGCUUGACCUCAACUUGCAGCAAAGCCAAGAGGUUUGCAGGGCUGAGGGCUGAACUCGAGAUAACCCCAGUUCCAAAUCCAGAUUUCUUCAUUCCCCUGUAAACCCCUUGGGCAGAUCUGGGCAGGGAAUCCUGGGGCUCCCCAGGAGCUGAACAAUUCUACUCUAAGGGAAGGAGAGAAAAGUAAGAGUGUUGCUUACUGAGCUGCCAUUGAUCACUGUGCAGUGAACUCAGGGCACAGAGCUGUGAGCUGCAGCCUUGGGGUGCAGCAGGGAAGGAUGGGGUGAGAGGGGAAGAUGAGUGAAUGAGUGAGUGUGGAGCGCUGCUUCUCCCAGCAUCUCUUCCAGUGCCUGUUCCUGGAGGGCUUUGCAGUUGGGUGACACAGGUGAGCGGGCACUGGCUCUGCUGGAGGCAGAUGGAGAUAGAGGAGUGGCUGUCAGUGCAGGUUUUCAGCCGGAGGGCUGUGGGAGGGGAGGAGAAGCCCAGCUGUGCAUGGCUCUGCAGUGAGUCACAGCCCAGCAGCAGCUCUGUGUUCCUGCUGUGUGCGUGGGCUCCUCCAUGGGAAGGAGCCUUCCACCCUUUGCUCAGUGUGUCCCUUGCAAUGAGCCCAGUAUCUAAAGGGCCUCAUUGCCUUUCCUAAAAGGACUUCCCUGCUGCAGGGGGCUGUUCUGCAUCUCUUUGUGAACAUGGGAGUGCUAUGUGCCUGGGUUGUGGGGUGAAGGCUCAGCCCAGCUUCUUGGCUUGGUACCUACGAUGUGCAGAAUGUGCCAUAAAGCUUCUGAUGGAAUAGCAUAGCCAAUGCUGGAAGCUGCAGGCAGUCCCACCUUGCUUCAAGUGUUUACCUAAGGUGCACUCCUGAGUCCUCCUGGGGCUGACAGGUGCGGCUUGGCAGCUCCUGAAGCUCUGAAUGGAGCUACUUGAGAAAAUACACAGGAAUCCACCUUCCAGCCCCUGGGACACAAAGGGAAGGAAGCUGCUGGGCUGCAGGGCAGCUCCUUCACAGCAGAACAGAGCCCCCAAAGGCUGCCCUUGAAGGGUUCAGAAAGGUCUCUGGGAUCAGCUGCCUCCAUGUUGGUACCCUGCUGGGGCUCUGCAGGGCACGUGGUGGGUGCUGGGUUACCCCAUGUGCACACACACACCCCGGGAAGAUGCAGCUUUCAAUCUGUUGCUCUAACACUUUCUGCUGGAGCUGAGCUCACUUCAGGACAAGCCCUGGCUUGAGGUGUCCCAGAUGAUCAUGCCAGAUGCAGGAAGCACCAUAAACCUCCCAAAGCUGGAGACAAAACAGAAUUGGUUUUGGCAGGACAUAUCUGGGAGGAUCCUGUCCAGAGGGAAAAGGCAGUCACAGGUGGGCUCAGGAACAAGUAAAGAUGGUGUAAGAGAGACAGAAGGAGAUGCUUUCUGACUGCAGGACUGUCAUCUGUCCCAAGCUGAUUUGAUGGGAUUUUUACUUUUCAGCAUGAAAGAAACCGGAGAGGACACAGCCUCCUUCACUGGCUGAAAACACAGCAGGAUGCUGUGUUCAGCCUAUGAGGGCAUAUGCAGAAAAUACCUCAUCACUGCUCCAGUGUGAUGAGUUCUGGGGAGCUCAGUUUAGCCCUGAAACCUGUUUACUUCCCUUUGAAAACCACUGCCCAGCUCAGCUGGGUUUGGCAGCAGCAGUGGGGCUGCGGGAGGACCCGGGGCUGCUCUGUGCCUGUGGGCUCGGGCAAGGUGGGACGUGGUCAGCCCCAGAAUAGCAGCGGGGCUGUAGGCGAGCCCUGUGACUUUCCAUCCCCUGCCCAGCCCGGGGCUGCCUCCCUCUCUCGGGACCUUCUGCUAAAAUUAACAGUGCUGUCCUGUACCCUGCGUUGCUCUAUUGGCAGCUGUUUGAGGGGAUGGAGAGGGGGGUGGAAAGCACACUUAAAAAAAUAGAAUUGUUAGAUAUGGAUAAUUCCUCUUUAAAUGUCUCACUUAAGGGGGGAAAGAAAAGAAGCAAACUCAUGGAAAAAUGCCUUCACUUGCAGUAUGAACCCUGGGGAGGUCCCUGGGCUCUUUCCUUUGUGAUGCUGUGAUUGCAAUCGAACAUUAAUCAUAAUUGAGAGCCUGCAAAGAGCAAUGAGAAACUACAGCAGAGUGAAAUGAGCACUGAUGAUGCCACACCCCCAGUCCCUUAAUCUCACCACUCUUCUUCAUCCUCAGACUUAGAAGCAAAGAAUGUUAUGGAGAAUGUUACAGCUCCCCUGCCACGACUGUGAAUCUGGUGUAAGAGUUGGAGGCUUUCUGCCUUCUUUCCCCUGUGGGGAUGAAUUCUGAAACCCUGGGUUGGGUUCUCCAUUGUUUUGCAGGACAAUGAUGAGUGGUGCUGGUUUCUGCCCAGCUCCCUCUGUCUGAACGUGGCCCUUCCAGUGUCUGUCCCAGGGCUCCUGCUGUCCCCAGGAGGUCUGUGGAGGGGGUGGCCCUGGCUGACCCCUAUAUGGGGUGCAUGGUGCUGUCAUCAGCCGUGGGCCUUUGGUGAGAAGCCUUAAGGAAUCAGAGCUGGCGUCCUGGCUUCCUCAGCUUUAUGUUCUGAUCAUCACUUUGACAUAUGCCAACCUCAGGGCAGGGAGAGCUCGGAGGGUAGCUCCUAAAACUGGAAAGCUGAAAAUCCCCCCAGUGCUUGGAAGGCCACAGGGAGGGCUCUGGAUGUGCCACAUCUCUGCUUUCUUGGCUUCUCCCCUGGCAGAGGAAAAGCUGAAUUAAGAAAGCAAACGGAGAGGAAACCGGAGAGGAAUAACGGCAGCACUGUGUGCCGAGCACAGCUCUGGACUCGGUCCUGUACUGGUUGCCCUGGAAAUUGGAUGCUUCCCACUGAGCUGCCCACUUUGCUGGCUGCUGUUGGGAGGGGAGCAGUGUCCAGCACCACCAGGGAGGAAAAAACAAAGGGGAAUAUGGAUUCAAGUGAUGGUAUUGGGGUUUUCUCCAUUAAGGGAGACCCCAAGCUCUUUUCCCUAUGCCUAUUUGGAGACAGUCUAAAGAAGUAAAACCCACCAGCUCAGCUAACACACAAAGUGAGGCAAAAUCCAAGGACCUUGGGGGAUGGCUGUGGGUCUGCAGCCUCCAGUGGGGCUCAUCCACAGGACUCAGGAGCCAGUGUGGUGCUCAGCACAGAAAUGCCAGCCCCAGGGCCACAGCAUCCCUUGGAAGAAGCAAUGGACCAAUGCUUUAGCACAAGCAGGCAAGAAAAGACUCCCUGCAAUCAGUGCCCAGCUCCAUCUCCAUGGGCGCUGCAGUGAGUGCCCCCUGCAGCACCCUGUCCCACGCAGCCUUCUGAUGCCAGCACUGCACUAUUAUUAUUACUUAAAGGUAUGCACAAGAGAUUAAGCCAGCAGUCCCUGUUAUGAUUGCUGGGCAUUAUGCUCUAUGCUGACAUUGGCUUCUGUGGGCCAAGCUCCAUCUGUGUCCGAGCAGCAGUUUCAGAGGGGGGAUUUAGCUCAGCUGAGUGCAUUCGGACACAGUGGAUUCCUGCUGCAUUCAAGCGUCUCCUUUUACUCACCAGGGAACGGGCUGCAUUUGUUGUUUCAACAUUUUCUCAUCCAUCUGUUGGAGAUGGGUGAGCUGGUCCCCGAUGGGCUGAGAGAUGGCCCUGUCCUGGGAAUUCCAUAACAGCUGUGUUCCGUGGGAAACUCGGACAGCAUCUCAACACAGCACUAUUGGUCUGGACCAGCGAGGACAAAACUGGGCAGCAGCCAGCAGCCCUUCAGGAGGAGUUGAAAGGGGACAACAACAGGACAGGACAGCAAACUGGGCACCUUUGUUGUGUCCCAUGUGCUGCCUCCCUACCUGAUCCCUGCCAUUGCCCCCAGUGCCACCACCUGCAACAGCUGUGGGGCUGGGAAACUCCACUUGCCCAGAGCCUGAUAAAUUAUACCUUCGUCCUAAAGGGGUUCGGGCUGUUCUUUUUUCACAAACACAUGCAGCACAAAAGCUGCCUUUCUCCCUCUCAUUUGACUUUGUUUUCUCUCACUCCUCAUCUCCUUUCAGCCAAAUGGGUGAAUAGCUUCAGUAUAUACUGCGGGAGGAUAAAGCCAAGGCUGGAGCAGUGGGAAGGAUGCAGAACAGCAGUGCCCUGUGCCCGCUGCCUUCCGGAGGGGUGGGCACUGUUUGCCACCCUUGCUCUGUAACCCAGCCUCCAUCGCCUUGCUGAACCCUUUGAGACAGCAGCACUGAAAGAAAAUAUUUGUGCUCUGGCUAGCACAUGUGCACGCUUCCUGCUCUUGAAAUCCCUAAUUAAGCUUGUUAUUUAUUUAUUUAUUUGGUUGGUUGGUGUUUUUGUUUAGAAAAUCCCUCUCUUUUGGGACAGGGAUGUUUGUUUGUUUUUUUCCUAAGCCAUCAGGGAUCACCGUGUGCAGGAACCAAGGGGGAUCUCCCAUCCCUUCCCUGCUCUGUGCAGCCUGUGAGGUUAUUUUGGAGAUUCUCUCAUUUACUGGGUGGUUCAGCUGAGUCCAACCUCUCCUUGGGCUAAAAUCAUAUCCUGUCAGUCAGCUGGUAAUUAGAAAGCACCAAAAAGCCAAUGGUGCUUAAGGCAGAGCUGGGGUAACCAAGGCAGUUUCUACAGCUGUGGAUAAAGGACUUAGUUUGGAAGCUGCAGACAUUUGCACUGAAAUCAGAUUUUGGUUUAAAAAGGGGCAGGAAGGUAACAUGGGGUGAAAAAUGCCUCCCAGGUGCAUAGCAGCACUACAGCACUGCUGCAGCCCAUCUAUCUCGGCUCACCCACCUCUUAGUGGUUCCACAGUUAAAGAUGGCCCCUGCACACCUAAGCAAGGUAACACAGAGUGUUGUCACCCAUCUCUGGCUGCAUGCUCAUGGCCUUGGAGAUGCACACUGCACUCCCUGGAGGCAGAACACCAGCAGGUAAUCUUUCUGCAGACACUUUAUCUUAUCCCAAUGAGACAAAGGAAGGCAGAGAGUGUUCUGCAGACUGCCCGGCCUGGCUGAAAUGCUCUGUUCCCUGAUAAACUUGCAAGGUUGAUGCAGGAACACAGGAGAUGAUAUCCUGCUGGGCUGUGAUGGAGAAAACAAGCAGCAGCUUGGGCUCAUCCACCAACCCUGGUCUAAUAGGAAUCGCUGUUGUUCAGUGUUCUCCCUAAUGUGCCUCUAAGGAACAUGGUCAGUGCAGCAGGGACAGCAAACAUCAUGAGCUACACACACACAGAGUCUCCAUAGGAAAACAAGGACAGCCUUGAGGAGGUCUGGGAGGCUGCAGUCCUGCAGAUGGAUGCUGAAGCUUCAGGCAUCUGGAGGAGCCUCCCAGCUGGUGGAGGACAGAAACCUCUGCUUGUCUGGCUCAGAGAUAAGCAGGCUUCAAGCAAAAUAGCCAGUUCAGCAGCGGGGAGGAUAAGCCAGGGGACUAUGGACAGGGUAAGCUGCAGCCCAGACAUCAAGGACAAGCAACCUGGUUUCCAGAAAGCCAAACUGGGAGUUACUCCCCUGUGUGCACAACAAGGACAACUGGCUCCAGGCACAGCAGUGUCUGUGUGCCACUCAGCUCUGCACCAAACUAAUGGCAUGCACCCUGCCCCUGCACACAGCCAUCAGAGCAGAGCUGCUGAGCAUGCAGCUGCCAGUAAUGGGCUGUCUGUCUGGUAGGAAGCUGGAAGCAAUAACUAGCUAAUACUGGCAAAAAUACCAGCUCAGAAAAUGCAAGAAAAUGAUGCAAUGAUGUUACUUUUAUCAUCGAGCUUCUCCUGUAUUAAAAAGAAAUAAAAAAGGUCUGCAUUGUGCUCCUUGAAGUGUCUGCAGCCCCUGGAAGUGCAUCUGCAGCAGUUAGUUGUGCUUUGCAUCAAUGGUCGAGGACUUUGAGGUACUGAAGCACUCCAGGAAAAGAUCAAGUUGCAACAGUGUCAAAUGUAACCUCAAUGUAUGAGUGUGAAAUAUCUCCUAAAUAUAAAGUAACCACUUCCUUCCAA